rnacentral:rRNA from 1 species
GGUUAAGCGAACAAGCGUACACGGUGGAUGCCCUGGCAGUCAGAGGCGAUGAAGGACGUGCUAAUCUGCGAAAAGCGCCGGUAAGGUGAUAUGAACCGUUAUAACCGGCGAUGUCCGAAUGGGGAAACCCGGUGCACUUCGGUGCAUCAUCGUUAGCUGAAUACAUAGGCUAACGAAGCGAACCGGGGGAACUGAAACAUCUAAGUACCCCGAGGAAAAGAAAUCAACCGAGAUUCCCCCAGUAGCGGCGAGCGAACGGGGAACAGCCCAGAGCCUGAAUCAGCUUGUGUGUCAGUGGAACGGUCUGGAAAGGCCGGCGAUACAGGGUGACAGCCCCGUACACGAAGGCACACAGGCUGUGAGCUCGAUGAGUAGGGCGGGACACGUGAUAUCCUGUCUGAAGAUGGGGGGACCAUCCUCCAAGGCUAAAUACUCCUGACUGACCGAUAGUGAACCAGUACCGUGAGGGAAAGGCGAAAAGAACCCCGGCGAGGGGAGUGAAACAGAACCUGAAACCGUGUACGUACAAGCAGUGGGAGCCUUCGUAAGAGGGUGACUGCGUACCUUUUGUAUAAUGGGUCAGCGACUUAUAUUCUGUAGCAAGGUUAACCGUAUAGGGGAGCCGAAGGGAAACCGAGUCUUAAUUGGGCGUUAAGUUGCAGGGUAUAGACCCGAAACCCGGUGAUCUAGCCAUGGGCAGGUUGAAGGUUGGGUAACACUAACUGGAGGACCGAACCGACUAAUGUUGAAAAAUUAGCGGAUGACCUGUGGCUGGGGGUGAAAGGCCAAUCAAACCGGGAGAUAGCUGGUUCUCCCCGAAAGCUAUUUAGGUAGCGCCUCGUGAACUCAUCUCCGGGGGUAGAGCACUGUUUCGGCUAGGGGGCCAUCCCGGCUUACCAACCCGAUGCAAACUGCGAAUACCGGAGAAUGUUAUCACGGGAGACACACGGCGGGUGCUAACGUCCGUCGUGAAGAGGGAAACAACCCAGACCGCCAGCUAAGGUCCCAAAGUCAUGGUUAAGUGGGAAACGAUGUGGGAAGGCCCAGACAGCCAGGAUGUUGGCUUAGAAGCAGCCAUCAUUUAAAGAAAGCGUAAUAGCUCACUGGUCGAGUCGGCCUGCGCGGAAGAUGUAACGGGGCUAAACCAUGCACCGAAGCUGCGGCAGCGACACUAUGUGUUGUUGGGUAGGGGAGCGUUCUGUAAGCCUGUGAAGGUGUGCUGUGAGGCAUGCUGGAGGUAUCAGAAGUGCGAAUGCUGACAUAAGUAACGAUAAAGCGGGUGAAAAGCCCGCUCGCCGGAAGACCAAGGGUUCCUGUCCAACGUUAAUCGGGGCAGGGUGAGUCGACCCCUAAGGCGAGGCCGAAAGGCGUAGUCGAUGGGAAACAGGUUAAUAUUCCUGUACUUGGUGUUACUGCGAAGGGGGGACGGAGAAGGCUAUGUCGGCCGGGCGACGGUUGUCCCGGUUUAAGCGUGUAGGCUGACUUUCCAGGCAAAUCCGGAAAGUUAAGGCUGAGGCGUGAUGACGAGGCACCACGGUGCUGAAGUGACAAAUGCCCUGCUUCCAGGAAAAGCCUCUAAGCAUCAGGUAACAUCAAAUCGUACCCCAAACCGACACAGGUGGUCAGGUAGAGAAUACCAAGGCGCUUGAGAGAACUCGGGUGAAGGAACUAGGCAAAAUGGUGCCGUAACUUCGGGAGAAGGCACGCUGACAUGUAGGUGAAGCCCCUGCGGGUGGAGCUGAAGUCAGUCGAAGAUACCAGCUGGCUGCAACUGUUUAUUAAAAACACAGCACUGUGCAAACACGAAAGUGGACGUAUACGGUGUGACGCCUGCCCGGUGCCGGAAGGUUAAUUGAUGGGGUUAUCGCAAGAGAAGCUCCUGAUCGAAGCCCCGGUAAACGGCGGCCGUAACUAUAACGGUCCUAAGGUAGCGAAAUUCCUUGUCGGGUAAGUUCCGACCUGCACGAAUGGCGUAAUGAUGGCCAGGCUGUCUCCACCCGAGACUCAGUGAAAUUGAACUCGCUGUGAAGAUGCAGUGUACCCGCGGCAAGACGGAAAGACCCCGUGAACCUUUACUACAGCUUGACACUGAACAUUGAGCCUUGAUGUGUAGGAUAGGUGGGAGGCUUUGAAGCGUGGACGCCAGUCUGCGUGGAGCCGACCUUGAAAUACCACCCUUUAAUGUUUGAUGUUCUAACCUGGCGCCGUGAUCCGGCGUGGGGACAGUGUCUGGUGGGUAGUUUGACUGGGGCGGUCUCCUCCCAAAGUGUAACGGAGGAGCACGAAGGUCAGCUAAUCCUGGUCGGACAUCAGGAGGUUAGUGCAAUGGCAUAAGCUGGCUUGACUGCGAGAGUGACGGCUCGAGCAGGUGCGAAAGCAGGUCAUAGUGAUCCGGUGGUUCUGUAUGGAAGGGCCAUCGCUCAACGGAUAAAAGGUACUCCGGGGAUAACAGGCUGAUACCGCCCAAGAGUUCAUAUCGACGGCGGUGUUUGGCACCUCGAUGUCGGCUCAUCACAUCCUGGGGCUGAAGUAGGUCCCAAGGGUAUGGCUGUUCGCCAUUUAAAGUGGUACGCGAGCUGGGUUUAGAACGUCGUGAGACAGUUCGGUCCCUAUCUGCCGUGGGCGCUGGAGAAUUGAGGGGGGCUGCUCCCAGUACGAGAGGACCGGAGUGGACGCAUCACUGGUGUUCGGGUUGUCAUGCCAAUGGCACUGCCCGGUAGCUAAAUGCGGAAGAGAUAAGUGCUGAAAGCAUCUAAGCACGAAACUUGCCCCGAGAUGAGUUCUCCCUGAGACUGUAAGUCUCCUGAAGGAACGUUGAAGACGACGACGUUGAUAGGCCGGGUGUGUAAGCGCAGCGAUGCGUUGAGCUAACCGGUACUAAUGAACCGUGAGGCUUAACCUU